CGCUUCCCCGCUUCUAUAAGAGCCCACACUCGCUCCUCGCACCAGCCUCAUUUAUCCGUUUCUGCUAUAUUUUUCUCUCACCUAGGGUUAGGGUUUUUUUCUGUCUAAAACUCUCUUGCUUUUUCUCUCUCUAAGGCAUCAAUGGCUCAGCAGGAAACCCAGAACGGAGACUCCAUCAAGGCUGAUGCUGAGAUAACUUUUACCGCCGUGAAGCUGCAGGUGUUGGUUGAGGCACCAAAGGCAAAUGACGCCGUGCAGUUCUACAAGGCAGCGUUUGGAGCCGUGGAAACUGGUCGUACCACUCAGCCCAAGCGCAAGGCUGAACAGGAGCUCCCUCACAUCAUCUCAGCUCAGCUUCAGCUCGCUGGUUCAACCAUUAUUGUAUCUGACCUCGCUGAUGACUCUGCACCGGUGAAGACUGGGGGAACCGGAAUCACUGUCUGCUUGGAGACCGAGGAUGCUGAAGCUGCUAUAUCCAAGGCCGUGGCCGCGGGAGCAGUCGCCGAGGGGGAGAUUCUCGAGGGCGAUGGAGCAUGCUGCGGUGCUGGGCGCGUGGGCAAGGUGAAGGAUCCUUAUGGGUUAGUGUGGGUCAUUUCUUCUCCUGCCAAGAAGUCGAACACUGACGUGGAAGCUUAGAGGCCGCUCGAUCCGAUCUCGAUCCUGACCUUCUAAUUAGUCGUAGUUGUUUCUUUCGUAGUCUGGCUUGUUUAGGUUUUGACUUGAAUGCAAUGCCGGGACCCUUCCUGUCAGGAAAAAAUUAUAUGCUUCUACCUCUUUAGGUGAUGGAUAGGGUGGAUGCUGGAGGUUGCUCUUGGCUAUUAAAUACUAAGAUCUAGUUCAGGAUGGAUAUUUUUCGUAAUUUUUGAAAAAUAUUAACUGACAGCUGGCAGUUAUCGACUUUAAAACUAGUGUUCAGCAGCUUUUGGAUUUCUAUUUUGUUGUUUGCUCUGUUAUUUAAUUAAGUUGUGUUUAUUAUAAUAUCCAAUAAGUUGUGAAAUAGUGAAGUCUCUGGCAGGUGUCAGUGCCAUCAGGAGCAUUGUGGAAAGUGGGAUGUUAAAUAUCCUAUGGAUGAGUGGAUAUGGAUAAUCCUGAGCAGUGGGUGUUGUUCUAAUCUUAAUUCUUGAAUAUUUAAAUCAGUAUAAUUACCAACCAUAUGGAUAUUGUUUCGACUUUGGAGAUUUCCUCGCAUGGGGAGUGUCUGGAGAGGAGCUUGUUUGAGGCUUGGAUGAUAAGUUAAUUAUAGAUAAUUUGGGGAUGAAAUGUGAGGAGACUUUGGUUGUAAGGCUAUCUGUCCCGUGUCAAUUGCGGUGAGGUUGUUGUAUAUGCGUGGUCCCAAAGGCCUCUGUCGUCCGGCUGAAAGUGGUUUUUCCUUGGGGAUGGGGUUCUCGUGAGGAUUUAGAGAGUUGUUACUGUCUUAUUAAUGCCUUGUUGAUAAGUUUGCUGUUUUGAACUUGUGACGUGGAACGAGUUUGGAUUUUUAAACAGAAUUAAUUUCAGAUGAAAAUUCAUGAUUACUUUUGCAAAUACAAUUCAAACAAAAGAAAAUCGAUUCAAGCUCGAUCAAACAUGAAUGGUACUACAUGUACAACUGGG
rnacentral:misc_RNA from 1 species